rnacentral:rRNA from 1 species
GAUCAACGCUGGCGGCGUGCAUAACACAUGCAAGUCGAACGAUGAAGAUUAAAAGAUUUCUUCGGAAUGAACUUAAUUGGAUUAGUGGCGGACGGGUGAGUAACGCGUGAGUAACCUGCCUUGUACAAGGGGAUAGCCGUUGGAAACGACGAAUAAUACCCUAUGACAUCAAAUAAUCGCAUGAUAAUUUGAUCAAAGAUUUAUCGGUAUAAGAUGGACUCGCGUCUGAUUAGCUAGUUGGUAGAGUAAAAGCCUACCAAGGCAACGAUCAGUAGCCGGCUUGAGAGAGUGUACGGCCACAUUGGGACUGAGACACGGCCCAGACUCCUACGGGAGGCAGCAGUGGGGAAUUUUGCACAAUGGGGGAAACCCUGAUGCAGCGACGCCGCGUGAUUUAGAAGGCCCUCGGGUUGUAAAAAUCUUUUGUAUGGGAAGAAAAUGACAGUACCAUACGAAUAAGGACCGGCUAAUUACGUG